UAUCGGUCCCUAAGUUUUUCAUCGUCAAUGAGCCAUGCCGGGAAGAGAAGCUUCUCACAAAAGAAAAAAUCUUCGUCGAAUCGACCUGUCGGUGGAAGAGAGCAAUUAUCGGUGACCUGAUUUUGAUACGAAACUUCGAGUUCGAAGCGGCGGUCGCCGCACUCCGGCGGCUGAGUUUUUAAGCGAAAAGGGUGGCUGAUGUUAACGUUUCCACACUGAGUAACGCCGCAGCGCUUGGUCAGGGUCCUGGAGAUGGAAGAUUGGGGACAUAGAAACAGAAGGAAGAUGAGGAUGAGGCUUGAUAAUGGAGGUAAUUCUAGUUUCAGCAUUGUGAAAAAAUGUGAUAGAAUUUUGUUAACAAAAUAUAUCUAUUUUUUAUUGGUUUUAUAUGGUUUGGACUUUGGAGUAUGCCAAAGUUUCAAACUAUUAUUAAUAUCAGUGGAAGUCCACGCGUAAUAUAAUUAUAAAAGUUAUAA